UCAUUAACUAUGCUUUCAGCAUGCCUUAGAGAUUUUUCGUGGUAACAAAAUGCCCCCCAGAGAUGCCAUUUUUGACUGUCGAAGUUGGUGAGAUGAUGGCAUCUCUGAAACGUCGAUUUAAAUUAACUAUGCUUUCAGCAUGCCUUAGAGAUUUUUCGUGGUAACAAAAUGCCCCCCAGAGAUGCCAUUUUUGACUGUCGAAGUUGGUGAGAUGAUGGCAUCUCUGAAACGUCGAUUUACCCCUUACUAUUUCCACUUCUACUUAGUGGGACCUCUGUUUACCCCACGUUGAUGACGUCAUAUAAUCAUGGAAGACGUUUCCUUUUUC
rnacentral:lncRNA from 1 species